rnacentral:rRNA from 1 species
AUGAUCUACGACGUGAACUCCCCCCUGUUCCGCUCCUUCCUCAGCCAGAAGGGCGGCGCGUCCUCCGACAAGAGGAAAAUGGAAGAGCAGAAGCCGAAGGACCAGAGGUUCAAGGCCAACGAGAACAAGCCUGUAAUGAAUGAAUGA